GGGCCUCGUGCUCAGAGGGGACGGGUGGACGCUGCACAGCAGUGUGCUCGUCACCUUUACUGAGCGCUUCUCCUGACCCCUGUCCCAAGACAGGUCAAGGGCAAAAUCAGCCUGGCCAGCCUCCCAGCUAUUCCUGAGUCAGGAGCAGGAAAGGGGGGCCGAGUGUGGGGGGACAAGCCUGAGGAAAGCUACCUCCCUCUCCUCUUCAAAGCACAGAGCCAGGAUGCACCUGAGCAGAAGAGAAAGCCUCUCAGGCUGAACUGGAACACUGACCAGAAGAUGUACGUGCCACCCAUCAGUGGUUCUCAAAAGUGAGCGUCAGAACCCCCUGCGGGGUUCGGGGAACACAGAGGGCCGACCCCAGCCCGGAAUUUCAGAUUCAAGAAGUCUGGAGUGAGUCCCCAGGUGCCGCUGACCACACUUGGAGGACCUCAGUGGCAGGUCAGCAAGACCGAGGAGGGAUGACCAAGAGUCCUAGAUUAACAGAAUUCUAUCCUUUCGGAGAUGGAGAUCAUCUACAGGUGAACCAUCCAACUCGCCAGGUGGACAACCCUAGGGUUUUUGAGUGGAUGCCAUACAUGUGUGGUUCCAUUCACAUAUUAGAGAAAUAAACUAUACAGCUCUCCUGCAAGGGGAAACAUUUUAAA